rnacentral:rRNA from 1 species
UACGAAGGGGGCUAGCGUUGCUCGGAAUCACUGGGCGUAAAGCGCACGUAGGCGGUUACUUAAGUCGGAUGUGAAAGCCCUCGGCUUAACUGAGGAAGUGCACCCGAAACUGAGUAGCUAGAGUACGAAAGAGGGUCGCGGAAUUCCCGGUGUAGAGGUGAAAUUCGUAGAUAUCGGGAGGAACACCGGUGGCGAAGGCGGCAUCCUGGACCAAUUCUGACACUGAGGAGCGAAAGCCAGGGGAGCAAACGGG